rnacentral:rRNA from 1 species
AGAGUUUGAUCCUGGCUCAGGAUAAACGCUAGCGGCAGGCUUAAUACAUGCAAGUCGAACGGUAACCUCGGUAGCAAUACUGAGGACGAGUGGCGCACGGGUGAGUAACACGUAUGCAACCUACCUUUAACCAGAGAAUAUCCCGGAGAAAUCCGGACUGAUACUCUAUGACAUUAUGAAGUGGCAUCACUUUAUAAUUAAAGCUACGGCGGUUUAAGAUGGGCAUGCGGGGCAUUAGAUAGUUGGUAAGGUUACGGCUUACCAAGUCAACGAUGUCUAGGGGAACUGAGAGGUUGUACCCCCACACUGGUACUGAGACACGGACCAGACUCCUACGGGAGGCAGCAGUAAGGAAUAUUGGGCAAUGGACGCAAGUCUGACCCAGCCAUGCCGCGUGAAGGAAGAAGGCCCUAGUGGUCGUAAACUUCUUUUAUACGGGAAAAAUUUUCGGGUCGCGAAUCCGGAUUGAUGGUACUGUAUGAAUAAGCAUCGGCUAACUCCGUGCCAGCAGCCGCGGUAAUACGGAGGAUGCAAGCGUUAUCCGGAUUUAUUGGGUUUAAAGGGUGCGCAGGCGGGGCGAUAAGUCAGUGGUGAAAUCCUACAGCUUAACUGUAGAAUUGCCAUUGAUACUGUCGUUCUUGAGUGCAGUUGAAGAGGGCGGAAUGUGUUGUGUAGCGGUGAAAUGCUUAGAUAUAACACAGAACACCGAUUGCGAAGGCAGCUUUCUAAACUGCAACUGACGCUGAGGCACGAAAGCGUGGGGAUCAAACAGGAUUAGAUACCCUGGUAGUCCACGCCCUAAACGAUGAUUACUGGAUGUUAGCGAUACACAGUUAGCGUCUAAGCGAAAGCAUUAAGUAAUCCACCUGGGGAGUACGGCCGCAAGGCUGAAACUCAAAGGAAUUGACGGGGGCCCGCACAAGCGGAGGAGCAUGUGGUUUAAUUCGAUGAUACGCGAGGAACCUUACCUAGGCUUAAAUGUAGGGCGACAGCUGGUGAAAGCCGGCUUUCUUCGGACGACCUACAAGGUGCUGCAUGGUUGUCGUCAGCUCGUGCCGUGAGGUGUCGGGUUAAGUCCCAUAACGAGCGCAACCCCUAUCAUUAGUUGCCAUCAGGUAAUGCUGGGAACUCUAAUGAAACUGCCUACGCAAGUAGUGAGGAAGGUGGGGAUGACGUCAAAUCAGCACGGCCCUUACGCCUAGGGCUACACACGUGCUACAAUGGGCGGUACAGAGGGCAGCUACAUGGUGACAUGAUGCUAAUCUCCAAAACCGUUCUCAGUUCGGAUCGAAGUCUGCAACUCGACUUCGUGAAGUUGGAUUCGCUAGUAAUCGGAUAUCAGCAAUGAUCCGGUGAAUACGUUCCCGGGCCUUGUACACACCGCCCGUCAAGCCAUGGAAGUUGGGGGUACCUGAAGUCGAUAACCGCAAGGAGUCGCCUAGGGUAAAACCAAUGACUGGGGCUAAGUCGUAACAAGGUA